GUUUUGGAGUCCAAGACGUGGACUGAUGUUGUUGUGCAGAUGACCGAGUGCCAUGUGUUCUCUCACGUUGUUGCCGCCAUUUCUCCAACCACGUGGUUAUGGGAGGAGGCCACGGAAGUGACCACAACUUCCACCAGGAUUGGCAAGUUUGAGGCGAGGUUCUUCCACGCUGCGUACGAGGAGUUUGUCAGGAGUCAAAGGUCAUUUUGGUCCCAUCAACUGUGUGGCUUUCCACUCUGAAGGAAAGAGGUAAAUGAGACCAACACAGCUUUUGAUUGUGUUAAUCCAGCUUGUUCUUCCAUUCAUUGUGCCUCCUG